UCCAAAUGAUCAACGUCAAUCAUCAACCAUUGUUUCAAUUUGUCUUUAUCUGGAGUAGCAUCGUCGUCUUCUUCUUUUUUAUCUUCUUUUUCUUCAGCAGCAUCUUCAACACCAGUAUCUUGUUCUGGAUGCUGCGAUUUAAAAGCAUUGAUGUGUUUCUUGGCCUUAGAAGUUAGAUCAGCGACUUCAGUGGAAAAUCUGUGAAAGUGCUUCUUCAUCAUUUUAGGAUCAACGACCAGAGAUUUCCGCAGCUUGCAAACGCACCUCAUUUGCAGAGGAUUGCUCGAUUCAACCAUACAAAGGAUUUCGAUCAUCAGUUCAUUCGGGAUCAUAGUGAUCGGUGACUCCGCCAUCAUCGCCGUCGUUAAGGUUUCGAUGUUUUUCCAUUUUGGGGUUUUAG
rnacentral:lncRNA from 1 species